AACGAACGCUGGCGGCAUGCCUAACACAUGCAAGUCGAACGAGAAGUUCGGGUUUAGUGGGGCAAGGGUGCGUACCGCGUGGGAACAUGCCCUUAGGUUAGGAGUAACUUCCCGCACGAGGUGCUAAUAAAGCAUAGUGUAUUCGGACCAAAGAUUUAUCGCCUUUGGAUGGGGCCGCGUUGGAUUAGCUAGUUGGUAGGGUAAAAGCCUACCAAGGCGACGAUCCAUAGCUGGUCUGAGAGGAUGAGCAGCCACACUGGGACUGAGACACGGCCCAGACUCCGACGGGAGGCAGCAGUGGGGAAUAUUGGACAAGGGGCGAAAGCCUGAUCCAGCAAUGCCGCGUGAGUGAAGAAGGCCUUAGGGUUGUAAAGCCCUUUUACCCGGGAUGAUAAUGACGGUACCGGGAGAAGAAGCUCCGGCUAACUCCGUG
rnacentral:rRNA from 1 species